AUUGAACGCUGGCGGCAGGCCUAACACAUGCAAGUCGAGCGGAGCGGCGGACGGGUGAGUAAUGCCUAGGAAUCUGCCUGGUCGUGGGGGCUAACGUCCGGAAACGGGCGCUAAUACCGCAUCCUAUCAGAUGAGCCUAGGUCGGAUUAGCUGGUUGGUGGGGUAACGGCUAACCAAGGUGACGAUCCCUAGCUGGUCUGAGAGGAUGACCAGCCACACGGGAACUGAGCAACGGUCCAGACUCCUACGGGAGGCAGCAGUGGGGAAUAUUGCACAAUGGGCGCAAGCCUGAUGCAGCCAUGCCGCGUGUAUGAAGAAGGCCUUCGGGUUGUAAAGUACUUUCAGCGGGGAGGCGUUACCCGCAGAAGAAGCAACGGCUAACUCCGUGCCAGCAGCCGCGGUAAUAC
rnacentral:rRNA from 1 species